rnacentral:rRNA from 1 species
GUGAUCCGACCAUCCUUCGUGGAAGGGUGGAAGCUCAACGGAUAAAAGUUACUCUAGGGAUAACAGGCUGAUCCUGCCCAAGCGUCCAUAGCGACGGCAGGGUUUGGCACCUCGAUGUCGGCUCAUCACAUCCUGGGGGUGGAGAAGCUCCCAAGGGUUUGGCUGUUCGCCAAUUAAAGUGAUACGCGAGCUGGGUUCAAAACGUCGUAAAAUUUUGCGACCUUGGAUGAGUAAUCAUCAAGCAAAAUUCGGCUAAUAACGGUGGAAUCCUUCAGCAUUUUCCAAACGUGCUUAAGGGCUAUACCGUGGGAAGUCGUCCGCCAGCUGGCGGAUUGACCCCGUAACGACUGAUCCGAAAGGAAAGACUUUGCAGAUUUCUGCAUUGUAAUACGCCGACUCCUGUCCAAAGAUAAAAGACUACGGUUUUAAAAACCUAAGGUCAAUCGACAGGAUGAAGAUAUAGUCUGUGCCACUAGUAAUAGUGGGUUUAACACGGAGACAGUUUGGUCCUUAUCUGUUGUGGGUGUUCGAAACUUGAGUGGGCGCAUCCUUAGUAAAGGAUUGCUACCUCACGAAGUAAUUCGUGAUGAUAAUUCGGCUAAUAACGGUGGAAUCUUAAUGUUUCUGGUUCGUUGAUAGCCAUAAUUGCCAAUGGUCCGGCCUUAUGGUACAGUUUAUCCCGUAUCGAGUACGGGACAUGCUUGAGGACCAGAGAUUUAAUUAAGACAAUACCGUGGGAAGUCGAUCUAAAGUCACAUUAGCUUAUAUUGCUGGCUUUCUUGAUGGAGAUGGUAGCUUGAUGAUGCAGAUUAAGAAGCGCAGGGACGGUAAAAUCGGCCUUCGCUUCAUGUGUACGAUUUGUUUUUAUCAAGACACGCGUCAUGAGAAAGAUUUGUUUUGGAUCCGAAUGAUACUCGGAAUCGGUUAUAUUUCCCGUCGUAAUGACGGAAUGACCGAACUGCGCAUUAAUGGAUUCAAGCAAGUCAGAGAUAUUCUCAAAAUGUUGUUGCCGUUUAUCCGAUUUAAGAAAGUGCAAGCAGAAGCUCUUUAUAAAGCUGCUGAAAUUUUAUGCAGCGUUAAGUUUACUGGUUUAAGCCAGACACAACUUAAAGAGCUCGUAAGCUAUGUAAUGAUGAUUCAGUCGCAUAAUUAUGUUACAAGACAUAAACGAACCGAAUCAGAAUUAUUGUUGGCAUUAGGUUUGACCCCGUAACGACUGACUCGAAAGAGGAGGUCAGCUCCAGUUUUUCAAACUGGGGCUGACAAUACGCCGACUCCUGUCAUAUGACAUAAGAUUAUGGUUAUUUAUAACCUAAGAUCAAACGACAGGAUGAAGAUAUAGUCUGCACCUUCCGCCUACGCUCUUACAUCAAAGAGCUUCGGCGGACACGCCAUAGCUUUGUGCGAAGGCGUGCUAGUGAUAGAGGAAUACGUGACGAGAGGACCAGGAUGCAUGGACCUCUGGUGUACCGGUUGUCCCGUCCGGGGCAUAGCCGGGUAGCUAGGUCCAGUUAAGAUAAACGCUGAAUGCAUAUAAGCGUGAAGCUGUCCACAAAACUAGGUUUCG